CUCUCUCUCUCUCUCUCUCUCAAUUCAAUAAUAAAUCAGUUGAUCUCAAUAUCACUGUGCAAAUUGGAUUCAAGUUCUUGCUAAUACAAAAAUGAUCAAGUAUAGCUCUGUGGGUGAUCCAUACUUCCAAGAAUUUCUAAGCUCUCUCAAGGAGAUUGAACCCCUCAUUUGUCUUGGCAACUCUUUAAAAUGGCAAAUCCAUCAUCGAGAUUCCUUGUGAGCUUUCGAAUUUUUUUCCAAAGCCUUCUCACCAACUGUCCUCGAUCCUCAUUCAAGGACUCAAAUUUCUUAAUGAUGUGGUCUAGGCACUGGAAGUCCCUGAAAGGUGAACAAAUUAAUUGCAGAUCCCCUAGUUUCAUCUUCUUGUGGGUCUGCUUCCUUGAAAAACUGGCAUUUGCAAAUACCUGAAUAAGCACCAUAUUUAUUAGCUUCCAAGGAGUAAUAUUCUAUAUCAUGAGAGUUCAAAAACACAAGUUAAAGGUAGAUCUCAAUGCAAGUUCAAGAUGUGAAUUAGCAUUCUUUGCGAUGUUUCUCAUGGUAUGUUUAAGUUACCACAUCAUUUCUAAAAGAUCCAUUAAUGCUUGAACACAACAGAACAGGGCAGGUCAUAUUUACAAGCUUCCUUGAAAUUGAUAAGCAUUUCAUCCAGCUAGAAAAUUGUUUUUGACAAAUAGCUUCAAAAAUAUUCAACAAGAUUGUAGUUAUGAGAAUUAGAUCUAAGGCAAUGAAGUAAAACACCAAAUCCAAUGAAAUGAAUUGCCGAAUAUGGAAAGCUAAAGCUAAUUUAACUUGAAGGGAAUAAUGCUACUCACAAAGUAGUAUAGUCAAAUCCCAACUCGCAGUUGGGUAGAUCAAGUUCAAGCAGACAGCAGAUAAUGUAUUUAAUCUGUAUACAAUAAAUCAACUACAAUAAUAAUAAUAAACCACAGUGACGUGGUCCAAUUAUAAAGGAUCAAUUGUGAAACACCAAAAACAGAAAAAUCAAGAGGCAAAAACAAAUAAAUUGCGUAAAGAUAAACCACAAAAUUGCAGAGAAUCAACAAGCUCAAGAAACGAACUAGAGAACUUGAAAGAAGUGGAAACAGGCAGUGAAAGGAAAAGAAGUAAUUACAUGAUUUCAAUUUGAUCUCUGCUAUUGAAUGUUUGUUCCGCCUUAAAUGGAUUUAAUUUCAACAAUGUUAAUUGGACUUUCCAUAAAAUUUCUGUGGUUGCUUAAAUUUAAGUGAUUGCCCUGAAAUCAGUGAAAAUACAGUUGCCACAAUUGAAAUUUAUGUCACAAAUUGAAUUUAAGCAUGCUGAAAUAAGUAUAGCAAGCACCAAUGAAAUUAAGCCACUUAAAAGUCGAAUAACAAUUUCUUAUAACUUUACAAUCUACAUCACACAAAAAGGCAAUCCCAUGCUAGCUGACAUUUUUCUCCAUAGAUUAUCAUCAUACUUUCUCCUCCACCCAAAGGGUGGAAGGUGCAAGAGAAGAAGAAUCAUGAGAAGUUCUAGUAACCUAUUUAGAAAUCAAAGAGUAGAAAAAAAAAACAAUUCAGCAUUAUUCAAUAUUCCUCUAAGCUUUUUCUUUUCAUAGUUGAAAAAAGGCCUUUAUUUUGUUCUAAUCAGCUAUUUAUUUUUUGAAAAAUCUUAGUGCUAUCAUUUUUCGAGCAUCCUUGCCCACCAUCAAUUGAGUGACUAUUGGGACAAACACUGGAGCUUAUUUUUUCUAACGCACACCAGGAGAAUGACAGGGUUUGAACCAUGAUACAAUGCAAUCCCACACUGUCCCAAACUUGAGUCAAGGCCCAGGCACAAGCAAUUUGAAUAACUUGUGUGAAGGCCUAGCGUUUUGACAAUGAUUCCUUAAGUGAUGAAUAUACAAUCACCACACUAGAAUAAAAUGGAUUCUUUUCAGGGUUCAAGUGCAAUAGCAGAAGUACAGCCACCCAGUUAAUAUGGAAUAAAUGUACUCCAAGAAUUAGUAAUCUCAAGCAAUAGACAAUCACCUAAAGCUGGUCAACCAAAGCAUGUUCAUGUGAGCAUUUACAUCUAGUAUUCUAUGUGUUCGAUUUCAAAUGAUCUAGUGAAUUGUGGAGAAAGAGAUGCAUAGCACAACAUUUCACAGAGUUGCUUGAAACUUUGAAAUUCAAACAACAAAACACAAGUUUUGUAGGAUCAAAUUUGAUAUUCUCAUCAUAAAUUUCUGCAUAGUUCAAGAGUUUGGGCAUUAGACAACCUCCCAAAGAGAAAUGUGUUAUGAAAUGCUUUCAGUUAAAAGUUGAAACCUUGCAAAUAUAAAUGAUAAAAGAUUUGCACAAGGAAGAAGAUCAUACAGAUUUUGGAGUUCAGAUAGAUCUUUCCAGCUCACUCGGAAGUUAGAAUUAAUCAAUAUAGCAGCCACCUAGCAUGUAUCCGCAGAAGAUGACAAAUUAACAAUUUAAUAUCCAUCAAAAUAUUUUACAGAUUGACACAGACACCACAUAAGAAACAUACAAACAUGCAGAGACGCAAAGUAUUGACAAGAUUAGUUCAUCAGUACAACAUGCGAUUAGUAUCCAGCCACCAUCAUUUACAGAAGUUCUAACUUCUGAAACUGUAAAUUGCUGGCUUUUAAAAUACCACGGUGUAAAGCAGACAUGGUGUGAGUAUCAGGCUGUAUUCCCUUCAGUGACAUUUGAUAAAGAAGGUCUACUGCCCUAUCCACAUCUCCUCUGUUACAACAGCCAAACAGAAGAGCUGUGUAAGUUACUAUAUCAGGUUCUAGUCCUCUCUCUAUCAUUUCAUUAAAGAGGCAUUUGGCAUCCCGAAGGUUAUCCGCUUUACUAUGUCCAUCAAUCAAAACAGUAUAACAAAUGACAUCAGGCCUGAUCCCACUAUUCUUCAUUUCUGUCCAAACAGUUGAAGCAUCAAAUGCAUCUUCACUGCAUCCCUUAGAACUUUCUGGGGAACGUACCUUUCUUAUAUGUGCUUUUUGAUGACCAUCAAGCAAAACUGUAAAAGUAACCAGAUCAGGUUUAAUUCCUCUUUGUUUCAUAUCAUGAAAAAGAUCAUGGGCUUCCUGCAAGCAAUUAAUCCUGCAGUAACUAUUUAUCAUCAUUGUGUAGGUAAUGAUAUCAGGAGUCAGCCCUCUCCCAGACAAAUUGUCAAAAACCAAUCGUGCAUUUGUCACAUCUCCAGCUCGACACAGAGCAGCAAUGAUUAUAUUGUACAUAAACUUGCUAGGUUCCACAUUCAAAGCCAACAUUUUCUUCAGCAGCGUUAGAAUUCCAUCAUUAUUACCUUCCUCACACAGGUUUUUGAGAAGAUUACAACAGCAACUUUUCUUCACUAUAUGUCCCUGUCUUGAAAGUCUAAUGAAAAGUUUAUAAGCCUUUGUAGUAUGACUGGCUCUACAGUAUCCAUUAAUCAUUGCAGCAUAAUUAUCUAAACUCUUAUCCUUUAUACCAUUAAAAAAUGCUUCUGCCUCUUUCACUUCGCCUCCUUCACAUAAACUUUCAAUUAUCACAUUGUGUGUAAUAGCAUUAGGUUUCAGAUUCUGUGUUUUCAUAUAAUCCAAAAGGCCAAGCGCCUCAGUUGCAAGACCUUGUCUACAAAAUCCACUGGCAAGUACAUUGUAAGUGAUAAUAUCUGGCUUGAAACCCUUUUCUCUCAUUUCUUCAAAAACCUUGUAUGCACCAACCAGAUUUCCUUGGCAACAAUACCCAUUAAUUAGGGUAGUAUAAUGCAUUAAAUCCAUAUCCAUUCGCUUGACCUUCAUUUCAUCUAGCAAUGCUACAGCUUGUUCUAGUUUCCCCAGUUUGCACAAAGCAUCAACUAUAAUGUUGUAGGAAACCUCAUCUAGAAAUAUACCUAAGUUCUUAUAUUGAUUAAAUUGAUCAACCGCUUCAGAAUGCAUGCCCAUUUCACACAAGCAGUGCAGAAUUGAGCCAACAACAACACAGUUUAUUUUGACACCCUUUGACAUCAUGUCAUUGAGGAGAGCAUAUGCUUUUUGCAAUUUCCCACCCUUGCAGAACCCACAAAUCAAUGUACUAUAGCAAUGCAUAUCUGGAACUAACCCUUCUUUUUCCAUGUCAAGUAAGACUCCUUCGGCUUUAUCCAAUUUCAUCUCAUUGCAAAAGCCACGAAUUGCAACUGAAUAAAUAUACACAUGGAAUGGGAUGUUAGCUGCUUUCCAUGCCUGAAGCACCUGAUAUCCCAAGUCCGACUUCUGAUUCGCACAAAGUCCUUCUAUAUAAGCUGUGUAAGCAAAAUAAGUGGUGGUAACACCACUGUCCUCAAUAUCCUUGAAGACAUCUAUAGCCUCUUCUAAACUACCCUUAAUGCAAAGUGCUUUUAUCACAAUAGCAUAGGUGUAAUCAUUAGGGCUCAAACCCAACCUCUUCAACUGUUUGUAAAUGGCCAGAGCCGUAUCCGAUUUACCAUUCUGAAUGAUUCUAUUCAUAAGAAAGUUACAGGUGAAUAUAUGGGGCACGAAUCCGCGUCUUCCCAUUUGAAACAAAGCAUCAAUAGCCUCAUCAAACUUACCGGCACUUACAUAGGACUUAACCAAGGCAUCAUAUACUUUAAACAGAAAAGAAGAGUUUUUUUUAGUGUCAUCAACAACCCCUUCACUGAGAGUAUCAAGCAAGCAUGAAAUAUCAAAAGAAGCACCAUUAUCAUUGCGAGAAGCCAUAAAAAGAUCAAAGAAAAUGGUACGGAGGUUCCCGUGGAGACCCCAAUAACAGAGGAUUCUAAUAAUAGCAGCACAGGUGGAGACAUCAUGUUGGAAACCCAAGUCCCUCAAUUUGCAAAAGAAGGAGAAGCCUGAUUGGGUCGUUUCUUAAGGCUGUAUAAGAUAUCAACAACCUCGAAUGAAUCUAGAUAUUGUCGCUGGUCAACGUCGCUGUCGCCAGCGGCGGUGGUGGAGGAAUUGUUGAUCAAGGGGGCAAGUGAUGUUGAGAAGGAUUUGGAAUUGAAAAGAAGAAGUAGAAUGGAGAUAGGUUUAGGGGUCAGAAGUUUUCCGUUAAAAUUAAAGACUGACCUGGAAGACGAAACCCACAUGGAAGUUGAGAGUUUAUCAUAUAAGACGACGAAGAGGAGAAGCAGAGGACUGCGAAUUCAUAAAUGCAGAACAAGUGUUGGAGAAAAACAGAGGUUUUCCAACGCUUUGACACAGAGGAUUACAG
rnacentral:misc_RNA from 1 species